rnacentral:rRNA from 1 species
AGUGAACGCUGGCGGUAGGCCUAACACAUGCAAGUCGAACGGCAGCACAGUAAGAGCUUGCUCUUACGGGUGGCGAGUGGCGGACGGGUGAGGCAUACAUCGGAAUCUACUUUUUCGUGGGGGAUAACGUAGGGAAACUUACGCUAAUACCGCAUACGACCUACGGGUGAAAGCAGGGGAUCUUCGGACCUUUCGCGAUUGAAUGAGCUGAUGUCGGAUUAGCUAGUUGGCGGGGUAAAGGCCCACCAAGGCGACGAUCCGUAGCUGGUCUGAGAGGAUGAUCAGCCACACUGGAACUGAGACACGGUCCAGACUCCUACGGGAGGCAGCAGUGGGGAAUAUUGGACAAUGGGCGCAAGCCUGAUCCAGCCAUACCGCGUGGGUGAAGAAGGCCUUCGGGUUGUAAAGCCCUUUUGUUGGGAAAGAAAAGCAGCAGGUUAAUACCCCGCUGUUCUGACGGUACCCAAAGAAUAAGCACCGGCUAACUUCGUG